rnacentral:rRNA from 1 species
CUACGGGCCGCUGCAGUGAGGAAUAUUGCACAAUGGGGGGAACCCUGAUGCAGCAACGCCGCGUGGAGGAUGACGCAUUUCGGUGUGUAAACUCCUUUUAUAUGUCAAGAAAAUGACGGUAGCAUAUGAAUAAGCGCCGGCUAACUCCGUGCCAGCAGCCGCGGUAAUACGGAGGGCGCAAGCGUUACUCGGAAUCACUGGGCGUACAGGACGCGUAGGCGGGUUGAAAAGUAAGGUGUGAAAGCCUACAGCUUAACUGUAGAACUGCACUUGAAACUCUCAAUCUAGAGUAUGGGAGGGGCAGAUGGAAUUAGUGGUGUAGGGGUAAAAUCCGUAGAUAUCACUAGGAAUACCUAAAGCGAAGGCGAUCUGCUGGAACAUUACUGACGCUAAGGCGUGAAAGCGUGGGGAGCAAACAGGAUUAGAUACCCUUGUAGUC